rnacentral:rRNA from 1 species
UACGGAGGGUGCAAGCGUUAUCCGGAUUCACUGGGUUUAAAGGGCGCGUAGGUGGCCCGACAAGUCAAUGGUGAAAUCUCGGAGCUUAACUUCGAAACUGCAUUCGAUACUGCCGUGCUUGAGGACUGGAGAGGAGACUGGAAUUUACGGUGUAGCGGUGAAAUGCGUAGAUAUCGUAAGGAAGACCAGUGGCGAAGGCGGGUCUCUGGACAGUUCCUGACGCUGAGGCACGAAGGUCAGGGGAGCAAACGGG